CUCCUGGUAGCCUCCCUGAGUUCAACCAAUCCAGUGAGGAGAAGCCGUGGGCGGGGCGGGCUCGGCUGCCAGAGCGGCGUGAAAAAUUUCCCAAGGCGGAGCGAAAACCUUUCCUGAGCGACUGAGCAUGCCCGGUGGUGAAAGUAUACUCCAUGCUUGGGGUGAAGACUUCUCUCUCUUGCUGGCCAUGAAAAAGAAAGCACAAAGCUUCAGGACUGUUGGCUGCCAUCUUGGAAGUAUGAGGGGAACCAGCCUGAGAAUGAACCCAGAUGCUGAGGACAGUAGCACACAGGAAUGGAAACAGCUUGCAUCUGUGAUGCCGUCUUUGAGCUGAUAACCGUACUGCAUCUGGAUCCCCAUUCAGUCUCUGGGUUUACAGUUACAGGAGGGUAUGUGGUUUAAACUCUCCAUGGGCUGACAAAAUCAGAUUUCUGACUCUGCAAAGCUAAGAAGACUCUGCUCCUGGAAGGCCUCUCCACUGACAGACUGAAUGUGAUUGGUCUACAGAACAGAGUUGAGAACAGAUGCUGUUUGAUCACGGUCUGCUCCAGUGGGUCUACAUGACAUGGAACAUGUGACUGCCACUCCCCGAGCCUCCUGACUCACUUGGUCCAAGAGGGGACUUGCCCUGAGGGUUGGGGCGAUGUGCCUAAAGUCCUGCAACUACAAAGUGGCAGGGCUGGGGUUCACACCCAGACUCCAGGCUCCAGCAUUGCCCUUCCAGCUGUAUCCCAGCCUCUGCUUUCCCCACGGCGCUUAGCCUGGUGCCUGGCGUGGAUGAGGAGCCCCAAGGAGCUUCCUGAAUGAAGCUGAGGCUGUACAUGAGGGAGAGAAGCGUGACUUCCUCUCCUUGUCUGCCGGGGGUUUUGCUGGGUGACUGUAGGAAUCGCUCGGCUGGCUUUCAUCAUCUACCAAUUGGGGGUAUUCACCUCUGGAAGUCAUUCCGUCACUUGUGUUCUCAAGUCACUCCAGAGGUAGCUUGCUGGUGCCUUGCAGCUUUGCUCCAAAUUUUCCAUACAAAUAAGCACGUAAGUGGAGAAGCCCCUGAUUCCAGCCAAACCCCAGAUUGCUGCUCUCUUUCCCAAAGGAAAGAAAGGAAACGUGUCUCGUGCUGCAGCUGGGCUGCCCGAGCGAGUCAAGAGCUGGGAGGCACUGAUCGCUUUGGGACCGGCAUCUUCCUCGAUUUCAUCUUUUCAUUUUUCUGCUGGGCUUGAGGAGACCUGGGUCUUAUUAUUAUCAUGCGCCUCAGCAGAGAUCUCGUCCUUCCCACCUUCUCCACUUACAGUAGGCCCAGCGAAUUCAGUUCAGCCCCAGGAGCACCGAUUGUGUGACCAUCACGCCCGAGCCCUGAGUGGGGCAGAAGGAACACAGAGAUGAGUGAGGGGCGCCUUCUCCAGGGAGGACACACUCUGGCCGGUGACCAGCCGGGGAGGGGCUGGCACAAGCAGAAGUGUCUGUCCUCCUGUGCGGCUGGGGAACUCACAGGGGGGGACCUGUGUCAGGUGCUUCCCUGUGUUACCUGCGUCCUUGCUGUUCCCCCACCUUUGCUGCACAGACAGGAAUCCAGGCUCGGAGGCAGCGGCCAGAGUACGAGAGGUGGCAGGCUCCUGAGGACCUGGCUUCCAACCCGGUCCCCGCCACUCCCUAUGCCUGUGACCUUGAGCGCUUUCCCCAGCUUCUCUGAGCCUCAGCUUGGUCACCUGUAAAUGCAGAGGUACAGGACCACGGGGCUCAGUGAGAACACAAGGUUGGAAAGUUCAGUGCAGUAUCCUCAGCGCUCCUGGAGAUCAGACAGCUCCUUGGGGGCGAGCUCAGGUGCUGCCUCCCCUCCGGCUGUCUGCUCCGUUCAAGAAGAGCUGGGCUCCGUCACCCCAGAGGAAAUGCCUGAGUGGAUCCCGUAGGAAUGGGUUUAGUGGCCUUGUUCUUCAUUAUUAGCCUCCCCAGAGGGACGUGUGCCUUGCCUGCCUGGCCGGCGUGGAACUGAUGGAUGAGAGGGGAGGGCAGAGUGGCCCGAUGGGUCUUCCCUGCAGGAAGGAGCCUGGCCCUGAGGACAGCCACCCACGCAGCUCUGGCUGCACAGCCUUCCAAGCUCCGACCCAGACCUCCACUCCUUUUGCCCCCUUGGGAGGAGGUGGCUGGAAAGCUCAUUUGCCGGGACUGCAAGACGCUGUGUGGCCCUGGGUUUGGUGAAGGUGGCAAGGGGCCUACGUGGGGGUAUAUCUAUUGAUUCCAGUGGCUUUCAUGUCCUUCCUUGUUUCUCUCAUUUUAUUUUGUUCCAGCAGCGGCUUUCUUUUUGCUGCCUCUGAGAAGACCCUCGGGAGAGGCUGGCUCGGGGUCUUCCUCGCAAAUGCACGUCUGGCUCAGGGCUGCUUUGAUGGCUAGAGGGCAAUUCGCCUUAGAAAUCGGCUGCAGUGUUGGCAGUUCCUCCCGGAGAGAGCUUUUCCGGGGGGGACCUCGCGAUGGAGUGUUGCUGCUCACGAGGGGGUGGGGAAGCAGAAGUAACCUAAAAGGAAAGGCAUCUAUUUUAAUGUUCUUGCAGAGCUGCGCGUCUCCUGCAUAUGGGUCCAGCCCACUCUCGUGAAGCGGCUCCUUUUGGAAAACAGGGGACUUGCAAACGGCUUGUUAAAGCUAAGGAAACGAAGAGGAGAGGAAACAGAAGCGUGUGUAAGCAGAACCCAGCGCCUUCAGCUGUAUUGGCAGGCCCCCGAAUCCAAAAACCCUUGGUUUUCAUUGGAGCCCAGAGAGACCUCACUUAUCCUCAUGGGAUGGAAAGUGCCAGGUAGCCGGGAAGAAGGGGGCACCGUCACCCCCACUGCCUUCUCUGAGUUGACAGCUUUGCUAGGGAGACAUACACAAAAAAGCCCUCUUGAUAUAAGAGAGCAAGUAUGCCUAAUAAUAACAGCUAACAUGCUUGCUGUAUGUCGGUGCUUUAAAAGCAUUAAGUAAUUUAAGUUCACCAAAACCUUGUGAUGCAGAUAUUAUGAUUAUCAUCUCCAUUUUACAGAUGAGAAAACGGAGGCACAGGGCAGUGAAGUAACUUGUCCAAGGUCAUCUCUAGUAAGCUGAGGAGCUGGAAUCAAAUCCAUGCUCUCUAGAACCCAUGCUUAUGUUCCUUACUACUGCUUGUUUCUGUCUCUUGCUCACCUUGGGAAAUCCGGGCAACUCCGAGAGCUUUAAGUGGUGCAUUUGCUGGCUCUUAAAUCCCAGAUCCCUGUUUGGUCGUCUUGUUGUACUUUUCUCCAGACUCACUUCUUUUUAAAAAAAAAAAAUUUAUUUAUUUAUUUAUUUAUUUUUCGCUGCGUUGGGUCUUCGUUGCUGCACGCGGGCUUUCUCUAGUUGCGGUGAGCGGGGGCUACUCUUUGUUGUGGUGCGCAGGCUUCUCAUUGCGGCAGCUUCUCUUGUUGUGGAGCACGGGCUCUAGGUGCAUGGGCUUCAGUCGUUGCAGCACGAGGGCUCAGUAGUUGUGGCUCUCGGGCUCUAGAGCACAGGCUCAGUAGUUGUGGCGCACAAGCUUAGUUGCUCCAUGGCAUGUGGGAUCUUCCCGGACCAGGGCUCGAACCUGUGUCCCCUGCACUGGCAGGUGGAUUCUUAACCACUGCGCCACCAGGGAAGCCCUUUUGUUUAAAAUUUAUAAAUUGAAGUAUAGCUGAUUUACAGUAUCACUUAAGUUUCAGAUGCAUAGCACAGCGAUUCAGUUAUACAUACAUAUAUAUGUGUGUGUGUGUAACUUUUUCAGAUUCUUUUCCCUUAUAGGGUUCUAUAUAAUAUUGAGUAUAGUUCCCUGUGCUAUACAGUAGGUCCUUGCUGGUUAUCUAUUUUAUGCAUAGCAGUGUGUAUAUGUUAAUCCCAUACUCCUAAUUUAUCCCUCCCCCCCCUUUCCCCUUUGGUAACCAUGAGUUUGUUUUCUGUGUCAGCAGACUCACUUCUUCUUGAACCCUGGCCUUCUUCCUCUUGUGUGAAUCACCUCACUGUGGCCGAAGGGCAGAGUCUGGAGUCAGCAGGGUGCAGGCUGGGAAAGCAGAGGGUCUGGUCCGCGGGCAGUUGUGGUCUUCAUCUCAGAAGCAUCUGCCUGGCACAUAGGGGCUUGCUCUGAGCCGGGCUCUGUGCUGGGCACUGGGGAUACACCUGGCCUUCUGGAUCUUGCCAUCUACUUGGGGAAUCAGACAAUAAACGAAUCAACAUAUAGAAACCCGGGUGAACACUACACAGAGCAUUGCAGCUGGCUCACGUGUUCAAGAGUGAUGGGUGUCUGUUUCGAGUUGGAUGACCAGAUGAGGCCUCUCAGAGAAGCGACACUGAAACUGAGAUCUUAAUGUCGAAAUGGAGCCAGCCAUGGGGUGAUCAGGGGAGGGGUGCUCCAGGGAGAGGCACCUGCGUGGCUCAGGGCCCCGCUGUGAGGGCAGGAUGGGUGUGUGUGGACACAGGCUGUGUUGCGGGAGCGUGGCGGGUGAGGAGUGUGGCAGAGGUAAGGUAGGGGAGGAGGCUGGGAUGCAGGGCUUCGUAGGUCACGGUGAGGCGCUACGCUUUCGUUUAAGUGCGUUAGAGAGCCACGGAGGCUGUGAGAGCGGGAGGGACAGGAUCGCAUGAAAUGCUGCCAUUUUGCUGACACCAGCCCCUCUGCUGUGGUGCACGUGUCAGCCUCAGAUGCCAGUAGUGUGGCCUGAUGGUUAGAGCUGCGGUCAUGGAAUGAGAACAGCUAUUCCAUUCAUCCUCUUGUUCUUCAUCCAGCAAGCGUCCUUGGGCACCGACCAGGGCCCAACACAUUGCUUGGCACCGAUGAUACAAAGUGGACUGGGGUACAUCCCCGGCCUCCAGCAGUUGCUGCUAUGGGGACACAAGGAAAGUAUUGGCCCAGCACUGGUCAGCAGAGGUUGAAAGUCAGCUUCCCCGAAGGGUACAGGACAAAAGUAAAUGAUCCUCUGGUCUUUUACGAGAUGCACCUGAGACAUAUUAGAAAAUAAGUAAUUUUCUGACUGUUAAGAAAUCUUAAUUAAAAUAACAUGAAUACAAUCCAAUGGAAUAAAUAUUAACGGAACCACUAAGUUUGUCUGGUUAUGGGGACUCAGAGAGAAGGUGGUCCUGGAAGAUAAGGAGGAGAAAGGGUUGGGGGGAAAUCUGGGCAGAGGGAACAGGGUGCUUGGCCUGCGUGUUCUGGACCCUCUUACUAGGAGCGUUGGGGGAAGGAAGGGAGCAUGACGAGGUCAAACUUGGAAAAAAAUCCUCUGUCAUCUCUCCUUACAAAUGUUACAGCCUCACAUUUCAGUCAACACCCUUUCAUGGGUAGGGACACUAGCCACGCUCAGAAGUAGCCAAGUUCCCAGCAGCUAGAAACUUACAAGACCUUGCUGACAACUGGGCCUGGUAGAGAAAAACCAAAACCAAAACCAAAACCAACUUUCUUCCCCUAAAUCCCAAUGCAUGUUAUCGUGCCCUCCGGUGGCUCAAAGUGAAAUGACAAUCCCGCAGAUCCCAAACAAAACGCUCCAUUGUUCUCUACUGUUUACUAAGUAACCAACCUAUUUAUUGUGCUUCACCCCGUGUACCUACCAUUCGCAGACCUGGCAAAUGUUGUCUCUUCCAUGAUGUUCUCCUAUAUUUCCAUCCGCAAAUAAUUUCUGCCUACUCAGUCCUUAUUACUCAUCCACGCAUUUUUCACUUAUCUUUUGAGAAACUAUUAUUAUAUGCUGGGCUUUUGAACAUCUGCCUUGAAUUCAAGUUCCCCUGUCUUCCCAGGCACACCAGGAGCUUCUGGAAGGUGGAGAAUCAGACUGAGUCCCUCUGUGUUUGAUAGAGGGGUAGAACAUUAAUUAGAACCAAACUAAAUGUGGCCACUUGUACCUGCAAGAGGGGUGUGUGAGACACAAUUUGUGUGAGACGCAAAAAGGGACAUACAGUUCUUUUUUUCCCUGUGUUUAAUUAAAAAAAAUUUAAAUUGAAGUAUAGUUGAUUGGCAAUGCUGUGUUAGUUUCAGGUGUACAGCAAAGUAAUUCAGUUAUAUAGAGAGCAUUAUAUACAUAUAUAUGUGUUCUUUUUCAGAUUCUUUUCCAUUAUAGGUUAUUACAAGAUAUUGACCAUAGUUUCCUGUGCAAUACAGUAGGUCUUUGUCAGUUAUCUGUUUUAUAUAUGGUAGUGUGUAAGGACAUACGUUUCUAUUCUGACCUUUUUCCUUUGCUGAGCUUUGCUGGAGAAGAAGCAAUUGUUGCGACUGCUCCUGAUGCAGGGCCAGCUAAUGUACUGAGUGCUUAGGAGACCUGAGUGAUUAACCUUUCUGCACCUCAGUUUAUUCCUCUGUCCAGUGGAGAUGAUAGUACCUCUUGCAUAGACAGCUCUGUGAGCGUUAGCUGAGUUUCUACAUGUGAUGUGGUUAAGAGCCGCUCUGCUAUUGCCCAGAAUGGGACUGGCUUGUGGGAUUACAAUAGAAUAAUGACUGCCUUCUCGGUCUGCUGCAAAGAUGACAUUUGAUAAUACCUGUAAAGUCCUAGAACAUGGCCUGGCAUCAUGAGAUACAGUCAGCCCAGAGAGGCCUCCAUCCACCCGAACGGGUGAUUUGAAUAUAUAGACUGGAAAAACGCAUUUGGAGACAUUUGUGGUUAACUGAACACAGGCUGGCUAUUAGAUGACAUUGGGAAAGAGAAAAGUGGUCCCUGACAUCCAGGAGCUGGCCUGAUGCUCUUAGCCUGGCUUGGCUGUUGUCAUCUAAUCUGUCUGUUUUUUGUGGCUACUGAAGUCUCUGUUUGCUUAGCUUAGUUGUGUGCUCAUAACUGGACAGUUAUUUCCUGAAAGGCCGGGUCCAGUAAGCCACCAAGACUAUGCCAAAGGGCUUUGUGUGUGUGUAUGUGUGUGUGCUGGUGCCUGCCUUCAACACCCAUUCACACAGGUAACAACUCUGCCUAGGCCUUCACUUCCUGCUUGCACAAAACCACGAGGGCAGAUGGAGGGGUGUGCUCAGGGCCUUCCCGGGGCUUUCCUGAGCGUGAGCACAGCCCUGUGCGCGCGUGUGACAUUCUAGGUUCCUAGGAGCUGUGUCAGAACUUUCCGAAGCCACCUAUGAACAUCUCACUCCCCUGUUUUGUCAGCUGGUUGCUUCCCCAACCCUCCUUGGGCAGCUGUCACGUGGGACAUUUGCCAUGAAGUGUUUCUCAGAAAUGUCCCAGGAAAAAGUCUCUUCCCACCUGGCGAGCUCUGAGUCAGGUCAAACAAAGAGAGGCCGUGAAAGUGGAGAGCUCCAGCAAACGGCCAGACAGGUCCCAGAGUGACCAUGCUUGGAGAAGGGGGCUUUGGAGGGGCUUCAGUCCCACCCUGCCCCCCUCCACAGGCUGCUGGUUUCCACUGGGACUUAGGGCUGUGGUUUUCAAGCCUAUUGUGAAGCUGGAGAGGAAGGAUGGGAACACGGCAAGUGAAGAUGCCACAUGGCUCAAUUUUUUUCAAAAGAACGGACUUAGCCUUUUUUUCUGAAACAACUGUUUCCCAGAUCGUUGCGUUUAUGGAGGAGCGGAUUUUUGAAGGGCCUCACUCCACCUCAUUCCCAUUGACGUCAUCCUCCCAAGCCAUUUUUAGGAAUAAUUAAUCUAAGUCAUUUGCAUUAUGCUGGUGCAAUCACUCCUGUCUUCUCGCCUCACAUAUUCAAACAUUCUGCAAGAAAGCCCCACGCCUUCCGCAAGUACGCUUCUUUGUACAAGUCAAGAGGAAGGGUCUAGGGUUAUAUCUGGGGCAAGAGGAUUUAAAACAGGGACAAGAAGAAAAUAGAAGCUGCCCUUCUUCUAUUUCUCUGUCUUGCCUCUUCUCCCAAAUUCUUGGGGAGAUUGCCCUGGUUGUGGGACUCAGAGUAAUUUCAUUUACAUUUCAAAAGACUGAGAACAAGGCAGAUACCUGGGAUGUCCCAAAAGAACAUUUCCUGAGCACAUAGGGCAGCCAGGGGUUGGGUAUCCAGUGAUGAGUAAGACACAGACUCUUUUGAGUAUCUCAUAGUUCAGGGGGGACAUAACGGUAUAUGAUUAAGGGAGAUGAGGCAGGUGCUAUGGAAGAGGAAUCCUGAAAUCUCAGUUGUUUAACACGAGGCAUGUUUCUCGCUCACCCCCAGCCCCUCCCCUUGGUGAUGCAGGCUGUGGCAGGGCGGGGACCCAGGCUCCUUCCACCUUGUGGCUCCUUCCUCUGUGGAUCCUCAGAGUCCUCUCCAUUCAGCCUGAUGGAUGGGGGCGGGGCGGGGAGGAAGGGGGUCAGCACGUGGCUGUGAUGCGAGCUUGGAAGGGCUGGGUGUCCUAAGAGAGAUCAUGGAGUUUCUGGGUGGGGAAGGACUUCUAACCGAGCGCUCUGGGAUAGUGUUUUUGAGCAACCGAUCUUUCAGCUUGGCUUCAGUGGCCCGGGCCUCAUGCUGUAGACAGGAAUACAGGUGGGUGUGGGCCCUUCAGAGUUCAGCUUAGGCAUCUCUGGGGGAGUCAGGAUACUCCCUGAGCCAUCAUGGCAGCUGGGAAUCAGCAACAUCAACACACUUUCUGUCCUUUCUUUACUUGUGCAUCGGGCUGGACUCUCAGCUACAAGGGACAGAAGUAAAGCGGGUGAGGGUGGGAGAUGGGUGAAGAGGGUCAAAAGGCACAGACUUCCAGUUAUAAAAUAAACAAGUCAUAGGAUGUCAGGUACAGCAUGGUAACUGUAGUUAAUGAUGCUCUAUUGUAUAUUUGAGAGUUGCUAAGAGAGUAGAUGUUAAAAGUUUUCAUUGCAAGGAAAAAACUUUGUAACUGUGUGGUGAUGGAUGUUGACUAAUUGCAGUGACCAUUUCACAAUAUAGACAAAUGCUGAAUUAUCAUGUCGGGUACCUGAAACUAAUAUAAUGUGGUAUGUCAAUUAUAUCUAAAAUAUAUAUAAUAUAAAAUAGUUCAUAUUAUAUAAUAUACAAUGUUACAUAUAUACUAUAUAUGUAUGUAUACUGUAUCCAUAUAUCCAUAUAUAUAUAUCAUAUAUAUCAUACAUAUAUUAUACAGUACAUAUACGUAUACUGCCGUGGUCACAGGAAGUAUAAAUAAAUCAAGUACAGGUGAAUUAAAAAAAGAAAGAAAUUAGUUUAAGCAAAGAGGGGAUUUAUCAUGUUGAUAAAUUGUAUCAGUUUAGGUUCUAGUGGUCAGGAUACAGUCAGGAGAGAAAGAACCCAGUGCACAGAACAGGGCAAGUUUGAUAGAAAGAAGCCUUCAUUGUAACGAGGGAUUAGAGUGAUGAAGGGUUGGCCCGAGGAGGGCAAGAGAACCGUAAAAGGAUGUAGCAAGAGGUGAUGUAAGGAGCAGCCAUUGCCCCUCGGGCUGAGAUAGGGCGACUAAGCGAGGCCCAGACUGCACUGGACACGGACAGCAUGUCUUCGACCCUCUGAAUGGCAAGAGAAGUUGCUGUGGUGCUGGGCCGGCAGAACUUACUGGAACUUGCAAGAAAUCUGCUUCCUAUGAAGUCAAGGAAAGCUGUUCACAGGGAGGUGUCUCACCAGGCACUCUGCACUCACCCUGAGGGGGCUGCCAGGGAAGCUGCUGGCCACUGCGCCCUGCAGGAGCCUGGGCUGGGGGAGUCACCUGAGCGGGGUGGAGGAGCCCUGUGGCCCCAGGAGCUUGCCUAAGGUGCCCUGGAACCAGGGGAAUGUCCCCUACGCCUGUAGCGUCUCUCCCGCGCCCUCUACUGACAAACAUUAGCGUUAUGCCAACUGGCAAAGGAAAAAUAUUUAAAGGAUCCAGGUCUAUUUCCCCAGAGCCGGUGAUGAAGACUGAAUUUGGAGCUGAGAGGCAAUCAGUGGAUAAUUGACACAGUGGUUAAUGGUGAUUUGUGGCCUUCAGGAAAGGCUGGAUCCAGAGG